UACGAAGGGGGCUAGCGUUGUUCGGAAUUACUGGGCGUAAAGCGCACGUAGGCGGACUCUUAAGUCGGUGGUGAAAUCCUGGAGCUCAACUCCAGAACUGCCUUCGAUACUGAGAGUCUCGAGUCCGGGAGAGGUGAGUGGAACUGCGAGUGUAGAGGUGAAAUUCGUAGAUAUUCGCAAGAACACCAGUGGCGAAGGCGGCUCACUGGCCCGGUACUGACGCUGAGGUGCGAAAGCGUGGGGAGCAAACAGGG
rnacentral:rRNA from 1 species